rnacentral:rRNA from 1 species
GAUGAACGCUGGCGGCGUGCCUAAUACAUGCAAGUCGAGCGAACAGACGAGGAGCUUGCUCCUCUGACGUUAGCGGCGGACGGGUGAGUAACACGUGGAUAACCUACCUAUAAGACUGGGAUAACUUCGGGAAACCGGAGCUAAUACCGGAUAAUAUAUUGAACCGCAUGGUUCAAUAGUGAACGACGGUUUUGCUGUCACUUAUAGAUGGAUCCGCGCCGCAUUAGCUAGUUGGUAAGGUAACAGCUUACCAAGGCAACGAUGCGUAGCCGACCUGAGAGGGUGAUCGGCCACACUGGAACUGAGACACGGUCCAGACUCCUACGGGAGGCAGCAGUAGGGAAUCUUCCGCAAUGGGCGAAAGCCUGACGGAGCAACGCCGCGUGAGUGAUGAAGGUCUUCGGAUCGUAAAACUCUGUUAUUAGGGAAGAACAAAUGUGUAAGUAACUAUGCACGUCUUGACGGUACCUAAUCAGAAAGCCACGGCUAACUACGUG